CAAUAUCUGUGUGUAAGUUGUGUAAUUGUGCAAGUUGCAUGUUAAUCUGAGAUGUGUCUAUGUGUUACAUGUUACUGACAGUUGUUAUCAUGAGUUUCAUGUUAAUGCUAACUGUUUGUGUGAGAUACUAGUUAACACUUAAUGAUUAUGUAAGUUCAUGUUAAUCCUAGAUGUUUUUGUGUGUACAUAUUACUGCCAGUUGCUAUCAUGAGUUUCAUGUUUAUAACACUAGUUGUUUGUGAGAGAUACUAGUUAACAAUUAAUGAUUAUGUAAGAUGCAUGUUAAUCUGAGAUGUUUCUGUGUAUUACGUGUAAUUGC
rnacentral:lncRNA from 1 species